GUCAAAUAAAUAAGUAAAAAUCUUUUUAAAAAGAAUUCAUCUCCCCAGUUUCUUUUUACUUUUGUAACAGUACUGCUGGGAAAUUGUAAAUUACAUUAUGUGGCGGCUCCUAUUUCUGUCUGACCUAGGCUCUGUAAUUGACUUAUGUGUUGUGUGUGUUACUUAGGGUCAGUUUCCCUCUGCUACAGUGUAUAAGCCUCCUGAGGGCAGGGCUUUUUCCUUUGUCUUGUUCACUGCUGUAUUCCCAGGGGUUAGAAUAUUGCCUCGUAUAUACAUAGGGGGUGGCCAAUAAUUAUUUGUUGAAAAUGAAUAGACAGCUAAAUUUCACUGCAAACAGACCAUGCAUACUGAGCCAUUCACGAAGUAUAAGCGUUGAUGAUGCUUUAAAUUCUCAGAACAACUCCACCUAGUAGGUACUGCUGUUCCAUCUGCGGGGAAUGGGGAGUGGGGAGGUGGGAACAGAGGCUCCAAGGGGUUAAAUGACUUGCCCAAAGUCCCCGAGAGCCAAUAGUCUGACUCUCUCCCCCAGUGCUUUUCCUCUGACGCAAGUUGCUCUGAGGAGCAACUCUGAGGAGCUCAGUGGCAGUCCCUUCACGGUCUCACUGGUCUCUUACUUGGUAUCCCCUGCCAGGAGUCUGCCUGCUGCCCAGAGAGGUCCGCGGUUUUCACCUAGAAAAGGGAACCCGAGGGCGGGGCAAAGGGAGGGGCCUGGAUUCUUCCGCUGCCUCCGUUUGAAAUCUAACUGCUAAACCCUCCCGCAGCCCGGUGGCUAAGCCUGGGACUCCAGACUGAAGGUGCAAUUGCCUGGGGAUUAGGGGCAGAGCCUAAUGGGCGCUUCUGCUCCCACUACUCUCAGAGGCUGCUGUCCUGGGUCCCCUGAGUAGGGGCCCUCCCUGGGAUAUGAAAAAGAAGACACAUCAAGAACGUGACCCUACUUCUCCGCAAGCAGAAGAGGCUGCGCGUCCCCCAGUCAGGAGACAAAUCUAAACAGGAGACGUUUGCCUUCUAGAGAAUGACGCAGACCCUAGUUUGAGUGUCACGGUCCCCAUACACCACCCCCAGCCCCGCCCCUGGGGGGCCUCAGGCACGUAAGCUACCCUUUCUUGACUCGUCUAUAAAACAGAGGUAGGGUUGCUUAAGACAACUUUCUGUAACAAGCAUGAUGCAGAUCCCAAACUUACUUGGUCCAAGGCACCCGUUGUCUCUAAAGUACCUCGCGCUCCCACCUGCGCAACAAACAGUCCCCCCAAUAAAACCUAACAGGUUUAGUAGGUAUUUAGAUCAAAACAACUCUUAAAUAUUUACGUCCUAACAGCUUAGAGGCCACUUGAAAAAAUACACAUAAAUGGAAAGAAAAAGGUAUUUUAGUUCCUUCUUGAAUAAUUGUUAACUACUAUUAAUGGAAUGAGAGCUUGCUGGACUCUACACAGCUCAACCCUUGGGAUUAUAUUGGGAAUUACCACCCUCAUUUCCUGUUCCACAAUAAUUUUCGUAUGAUACUUUUUAUCAGAACUGUCAAACCACAUCCUCCAAAGGAACGAAGCUCCAACAUUCAAACUGCGAACUAUCUUGUGCUAGCAGUUUCGCUCGGUGUCCGGCAGGUGUCGCUGUGGACCGCUCAAAAAAUCCUCCGCAGCCCGAAUCCUCGCGCUGUGGGGACGGUAGAUAAUACAGUACGUGGUGGCUGUGAGCUUUAUUGCUAUGCUUUCCUGGGCGAGCAGCGAUUUGCAAAGGCAGAGUUCAGAGAGAGCACAAGUGGAAGGAAUGGUGGAGGGAGAGGAAGAAGCAGGCUCCCCACUGAGCCGGGAACCCAUGCGGAACUCGAACUCGUUCCCAGGACUCUGAUACUACGACCUGGGCCGAAGGUAGAGGCAUAACGGACAGAGCCACCCAGGCACCCUGAGGCCCUGAUUCUGGCAUUCAAGGCCAUCAGGACCUCAGGCCCACCCCCUUCCCAGCCCCACUGUGAGCCAUCUCCAGAGCACACCUGGAACUCCCUCACAACCCUGCUUUUGCACAAGUUCUUUUCUCUACCUGGACGCUUCCACCUGUUCGCCUGUGCCGAAGAUCCUCCAUGGUCUCCUCCUGACUCCAGCUAUUGUCUGGCCCCGGAGCAAGACCAGAAGCAGCUGGAAGCCUUAAGACUGAGGGUUAGAAACACAGGUAUGUCGGGAUAAACCACAGUGAGCCAGAUGGAAAGAUGGUCUCCAAAGAGAGAUCCGCAGUUACCUUGAAAUAGUGGGAUUUCAGUUCUGAUACAGGCGCAUAGUGACCCUCAAGGGUAGAACAAAGACAAGAGGCAGAAAAGUACCCAUGGAAGAAAGGACCAGCCCCCGGCGCGCCUUCCUCUGCUUUGAUGUCAUCCUCUUCCUGGACAGCAGAGAGCGCUCUAUUUCCACGCCAAAAAAAAAAAAAAAAAAAAGCCACCUCUGCCUCAUCCCAGGAACUCACAGCACUGAAAAACUUUAGGAUUCCAAGGCCCCGCCCUCAUUGUUCCGGAAUCAGACUGGCAGAAAUUGACAGAGAAUCUCUUCUUUGAACAAGACCUUGGGUAGUUUUCUCAGGAUCAAGCAAAUUGCAGAAAGGAUCUCACACAGCUCCUUGGAUGUGUUCCAUGUGGCUUCCGUGCGUUAAGAAGCAAAAGCCAGAGCCCAGGGAGACUUCCUAUAAAACAAGGACGAGGAAUCAAAGAGAACAGAUAAAUAUGUUAGCCUGGACUGAAUGGGUCAGUCCCAGAGCGAGGCUGUGCUGCUGCCCACAGACUGAACUUGCCAGCUCUGUUAUGUACGAGCCGCGUGCCUGGCAAAUCCCCGAAGCAUUUGCUGUCUUCACCCGGUGGUUGUGAUCCUUCAGUGAGAUACACCGCUGUUGUGUCUCUGCAGCAAGCAGACAUCGAUGGAAUGUUAGUUUUCAGUCUAAUAUAAAAAUACCUGGUGUUUUGGGGCGCCUGGGUAUCUCAGUGGGUUAAAGCCUCUGCCUUCAGCUCAGUCAUGAUCCC